rnacentral:tRNA from 1 species
GGAGAGGUCGCAUAGUUGGUCUAGUGCGCAGUCCUGGAAAGACUGUAUGUCCGCAAGGGCAUCGAGGGUUCGAAUCCCUCUCUCUCCGCCA